AUGAAGACUUUUGAAGCUUUUAUGGGCAUCGAACUCAACUGCUCUUGGAAAAGGUCAAAGAGAAGGCAUGGAAUCAGGAGCCGGAAGAGAAAGGCCACCCAAGAGCUGCCAAGCCAAGAAGAGGGGUUUGAGAGAAGAGCUAUCUCAAGUACCCAGUGUGUAACCAAGCCGCCAACAAAACUUCUAUGGCUAAACAUCUUAAGACUGAGAUACCAAGGAAAGAACGGACACCUCCCAGACUACGUUGGAGGCGGGGCUACGUCUGGGGCGGGGGCCAAGUUGGAGGCGGGGCUACGUCUGGGGCGGGGGCUAGGUUGGAGGCGGGGCUACGUCUGGGGCGGGGCUACGGACGCCGUACGAGCGCCGGGGCGCUCGGCCUGGGCAGAGUGCGUAGGCCUGUGGCGCUCGGUGGGCUCGAGGGCCGGGGGGCCGUCCCAAGCCGGCCCGCCCCCGCUCCGCUCCCCGCCCACAGCCGCACUUCCGCGGUCGCCUGCGUUCCGGAGCCCAGACGCAGCGUCUGAGUCGCCCGGCACCUUCUGUCAGUGGCGUGAGCGUCUUGCCGUGGCGUGUCGUCUGCGCCGCUCGGCCAGUUGUACGCCCGUGCGCUCGCCCGGCCGACCGGGCUGCGGAGCUCCCUCUCGCGUCCCCCGGCUGGUCCGGGGCGUCCGGGCACCGCCUCGACGGCGGCUCCGCCGGACGCGCGGACUGGACCGCAGACCGCACCCCGAGCGGACGGCGUCAUGAGGCACCUGCCGUACUUCUGCCGCGGCCAGGUGGUGCGGGGCUUCGGUCGCGGCUCCAAGCAGCUGGGCAUCCCUACAGCUAACUUUCCUGAACAAGUAGUAGAUAAUCUUCCAGCUGAUGUAUCCACUGGCAUAUAUUAUGGUUGGGCCAGUGUUGGAAGUGGAGACGUCCAUAAGAUGGUGGUGAGCAUAGGAUGGAACCCAUACUACAAGAAUACAAAAAAGUCCAUGGAAACUCAUAUCAUGCAUACUUUCAAAGAGGACUUCUAUGGGGAAAUUCUCAACGUGGCCAUUGUCGGCUACCUCAGACCAGAAAAGAACUUUGAUUCUUUAGAGUCACUUAUUUCAGCAAUUCAAGGUGAUAUUGAGGAAGCUAAGAAACGACUAGAUUUACCAGAACAUUUGAAACUCAAAGAAGACAAUUUCUUCCAGGUUCCUAAAAGCAAAAUAAUGAAUGGCCACUGA